UCCCCGUUGGCCGGGGCAGUUUCGCCUGAAAAAUACAACAGACGACAAGGGUUGCGCUCGUUGCGGGACUUAACCCAACAUCUCACGACACGAGCUGACGACGGCCAUGCAACACCUGUCACUAGGCUCCCGAAGGCACUCCCCUGUUUCCAGGAGAUUCCUAGGAUGUCAAGCCUUGGUAAGGUUCUUCGCGUAUCUUCGAAUUAAACCACAUGCUCCACCGCUUGUGCGGGUCCCCGUCAAUUCCUUUGAGUUUUAAUCUUGCGAUCGUACUCCCCAGGCGGGAUGCUUAACGCGUUAGCUUCUCAGCACAGAGGGUCGAUACUCCAUACUAAUAGCAUCCAUCGUUUACGGCGUGGACUAC
rnacentral:misc_RNA from 1 species